AAUAUGGAGCGAAAUAAAAAGUGGAGGUUUGUAAAAAGGGCCAUAAAUAUUAAGUAAUCGCCUUGGAUAAAGGCAGAAAAUCUCGUUUUCCAUCGGAUUUUGUUCCUAAUACGGCCGUACAUAUAGUUGACCACGAUUAUAAUGUUUAAAGGUUAGAAAGUUGCGAUGAACACGUUGUACAUCAUGUUGCUAGACAAGAAGAUGUGACCACGGAUAAUUUAGACGAUAGAGAAUGGAGUAUUGGAAGAAGAGUGGUAGAAUUGGAGACCUUGGCUGAUGCACUUAAAGCAUGUUAUCUUUGCAGUCAGCCAUUACAUCUCUUAAACUGUGUGGGUGAAAAAAAACUGGUUUAGCCCAAAUUUUACUUGUGAAAUGCCAAUAUCCUGAGUGUGGUUUUAUAAAUGAUAUACCAUCUGGCACUAAACAUGCUACAGUAAAUGGUGGCCAAGCCUGGGAUGUCAAAACAAAGUAAGCUGCAGGUGAAACCUACCAAUCAAAGAUUGCUUUUCAAGAUCAUGCUGAUCUCCAGGACAUUGUUUUGAAGCAAGACCAAGUUUCUCCAGAUCAUAGUCCACAAUGAUAUUUUUUCACUUUUGGCUAGCCAGAACACCAGAUAUUCUACAGAUUGCUGCGGUAUCAGGGAAUGAAGAGAUGAAUGUUCUAUAUGCGACCAACAACUCAGAUUUGCCUUGAAGCUUCUGCGGCCACUCGGCUGGCAUACAUUGGUG